rnacentral:rRNA from 1 species
UGUGUAGGCGGGUUUGCAAGUCAGAGGUGAAAGCCUACGGCUCAACCGUAGAACUGCCUCUGAUACUGCAAGUCUUGAGUCCUGGAGAGGUUGUCGGAAUUCGUGGUGUAGCGGUGAAAUGCGUAGAUAUCACGAGGAACACCGGUUACGAAGGUGGGCAACUGGACAGGUACUGACGCUGAGGCACGAAAGCGUGGGGAGCAAACA